rnacentral:misc_RNA from 1 species
AAGUCGUAACAAGGUUUCCGUAGGUGAACCUGCGGAAGGAUCAUUACAUUCAGUAGCUUGCUACUGGUCGGGAGGCGCUGUAACUCCGCAUAGUAUUAAUUUACUGAUGAGCGGCAGGCCCUCUGUCUGUACCCUUGUCUUUUGCGCACUCAUGUUUCCUCGGCGGGCUUGCCCGCCGAUUGGACAAAACUAUAACCUUUUUAAUUUUCAAUCAGCGUCUGAAAAAACUUAAUAAUUACAACUUUCAACAACGGAUCUCUUGGUUCUG